rnacentral:miRNA from 1 species
UACCUCAUUGACCGGAAGGAAACCCUUCCAAUCAAUGAGGUACAUCUACCUCAUUGACCGGAAGGAAACCCUUCCAAUCAAUGAGGUACAUCUACCUCAUUGACCGGAAGGAAACCCUUCCAAUCAAUGAGGUA